UUUUUAUUUUCUGAAGAUGUAUAUUUCAAGAUCCUGAUUCCCUUGAAAUGUAUGUGCUGCUCCCAAGCCUUUAAACUUGUUUAUCAUUGACUCACUAAGACCAGUAUUGGGCUGACAUUUUCCAGGACAGAUUUCUGAAGCUGUGCAUUGAGUUGGAACUGAAAUAAUUGGCCUAAUUUUUCAGAAGUGAUGAAGAUCCCACUGACAUCUUCAUUACAUCCUGAGACGUUUAAGAAGAUAACACCAGGCUCCAACAUCUGAAAAUCCUUGCCUUUUACCUCACCAGAGAUUUUUACCUCAGAAGGAAUUUGUGAAGAUUACUGUGUUCCUAAUGCCUUUUGAAAUACUUAUUUAAAAGGUUUUGCAAGUGAUGAGGAAGACAGCAGCAGUGUUACAAUAGUGGCUCUGUUUACUUUCCAGGUCAAAAGCCAUGCUAGGCAAUCAAAGAUACUCUAACCUCCCCCCAAAUUUCUGGUUUUAAGGGAAGUAUGAUCUGCCCGCAGUAUUCUGUGUACAAACAGCUGCAGGUUCUGUGAAAAAUGGUAUUUUGAACUAAAUGUUAUAGCAGUAAUGCGGACUAUACCCCUGUGUAAAUCUGAUUUCAAAGGCUUGAUUAUAGCCUUUUUCCAGACCUAGAAACUACUGAGAAGUGACUUGCUUCAAGUAUGAGCAGAGCACACAACUGAACUCUGCUGUCUUUUAUACAGUAAAAAGGCUAUUAACUGGAAAUAUCAACAAUGAAAUGAAUAAUAUCACAAGUUUUCCAGUCAGAGCUGUCAGUUAUAUAUGUAGGGUUUUAUUUAAUGUCCAUUAAAGUCAAAUGUUUCUUUCCAUUGGUUGGUUUGCACAGCCAAGUAGAAGCUUCAGCAUUUGAAUGAUCUAAACCAGUUUUCAUAAACUACAAACAGAAAACAAAGGCUGUUGUUUAUAAUCUGUCCAUUAGUAUUUCUCUUCAAGUAACAUAAAACUAAUAAACAUCUAUGCCUAUCACUUUUCUCACUUUGCUUGCAUUACAAGCAAAUCACUCUUUUAGACACUUGAAAAAGCUAAGCACAGACUCAACAACUGGCUAACAAUUUUGAUCUGAACCAUACUUCACUUUGAAAAGCAAUUAUGAAAGUUCUUGACAGAAGUAAUAUUCUAGCUCUAAUCUUAUUAGUAGAAGCAGUAAUGGUAAGACAUGUUGUAGAGUGGAUGAACUUACUGCCAAGGCUAAACUAUUUAUUUUCAGUAAUACUCAUUUUUCAAAGAGCAGAUGGUUUAAUUCUCUGAAACAGCUGGUAAUAAAUAGGAGACAGAAAAUCAGGUGGGGAAUGAAAUAACUGUUAUCUACCCUUCAAAAUUCAGCAAGGUUUAAAGGUAUGCUGGCAUUCCAACCUCAAGUAAGAUUUCUUUUCAUCAGACCCUACAGCGUCAAGUGGUAUAACAUAAUGAAGUCUGUAAAAUAGCCACCUUCAAAGCUAAUCUAAGGAAGCCAUGAAAAUACUGAAUUUAGAUGCUCAGAGUACCAGUCUUGGAUUGUGGUUUUGCAGGUUUUUUUUUGCAUUGGUUAAUCGUCAUCUAGCUUUGGAAAAAUUGUAAAGUUUUAACUGAUCAAUUACUGGUUGGGUCUUACAGAAGCUUACUUCUCACUGCAGUGAUUGAAUUGCAGCUUUUAUCUGCACUAUUUGU